rnacentral:rRNA from 1 species
UUCUUUCCUUACGCAAGAGCUUUACAACCCGAAGGCCUUCUUCACUCACGCGGCAUUGCUGGAUCAGGCUUUCGCCCAUUGUCCAAGAUUCCCCACUGCUGCCUCCCGUAGG